rnacentral:rRNA from 1 species
GACGAACGCUGGCGGCGUGCUUAACACAUGCAAGUCGAACGGAAAGGCCCUGCUUUUGUGGGGUGCUCGAGUGGCGAACGGGUGAGUAACACGUGAGUAACCUGCCCUUGACUUUGGGAUAACUUCAGGAAACUGGGGCUAAUACCGGAUAGGAGCUCCUGCUGCAUGGUGGGGGUUGGAAAGUUUCGGCGGUUGGGGAUGGACUCGCGGCUUAUCAGCUUGUUGGUGGGGUAGUGGCUUACCAAGGCUUUGACGGGUAGCCGGCCUGAGAGGGUGACCGGCCACAAUGGGACUGAGAUACGGCCCAGACUCCUACGGGAGGCAGCAGUGGGGAAUAUUGCACAAUGGGCGGAAGCCUGAGGCAGCAACGCCGCGGGCGGGAUGACGGCCUUCGGGUUGUAAACCGCUUUCGCCUGUGACGAAGCGUGAGUGACGGUAAUGGGUAAAGAAGCACCGGCUAACUACGUG